rnacentral:sRNA from 2 species
AUCUGUCGUAGUGCAUCUGAGGUACUUGAAAACCACGAACCACUAAGCGAAUCCAAUUCUUCGAUUUAGGCGACCAAAUACCCUCACUCAAAAGACUUUGACACCUCUCAUAAUCCUUCAAUUUGACCGAGUUGGAUGGUUUGGCGGGAGUUAUUCUUGCAGAAUGGGGAGCUUCCUAUCCCCUCUCUUCACUCUACCACUUCUGGUCUAAUCUUUGCCAAAUUUAUAUGUGAAAGAGAUCUAUCUAAUUUAUUCUAUUUCGGAAAUUUCCCAACUCUAAUAUUUGUUGAGUUGUUCAUGCAUUUGUCUUGAUGAAACUCAGAUUGAACUCAGAGUUCUCAGUCACCAGUUGUCAAGUUCUGUUUCUGUUAAGACUUCAAGGCGUGAAAGAGAAUUGAACUUAAAAGCUGUGCUAAAUAGAGAAUUCACCGUUUAGCCUAGCGGUAAAGCACUUCAAUAUCACAACUUCCUCUGAUCUGGAUGGGUAUCUGGUCUGCGCAGGAGGAGCUUGCUUGGGAGAGGUGUGAGCAAACACUGCGAGACUAGAUUUUCCCAUUCGCUCUCGCUCACCGUCUGUACGACUGACCUAGUCGAUCACCAAGAGACCGUGUGGUUUGAACUUUGAAGAGAGCAGAGAAGCCCAAUGGUAGGGAGCUCUCUGGAAAGGGCGGCUUGACUGAAGCUACACACAUUUGGGACAAUUGUCCCUGUAACUUAUCCACGCCUGGCGCCUGCAUCUUUAGUCUUUAAGUUACUACAACAAGAGAAUUCAAAUCCAUUGUCUCCUGCCCAAGAUCGCCUGCAAUUGUGGUGCAGACAAAAGGAUUUUUAUCACUUCCU